rnacentral:rRNA from 1 species
AUUGAACGCUGGCGGCAGGCCUAACACAUGCAAGUCGAACGAGUGGCGGACGGGUGAGUAAUGUCUGGGAAACUGCCUGAUGGAGGGGGAUAACUACUGGAACCGGUAGCUAAUCCCGCAUACCAUCAGAUGUGCCCAGAUGGGAUUAGCUUGUUGGUGGGGUAACGGCUCACCAAGGCGACGAUCCCUGGCUGGUCUGAGAGGAUGACCAGCCACACUGGAACGGUGACACGGUCCAGACUCCUGAGGGAGGCAGCAGUGGGGAAGAUUGCACAAUGGGCGAAAGCCGGAGGCAGCAAGGCCGCGUGGAUGAAGAAGGCCUUCGGGUUGUAAAGUACUUUAAGCGGGGAGGCGUUACCCGCAGAAGAAGCACAGGCUAACUCCGUGCCAGCAGCCGCGGUAAUUC